rnacentral:lncRNA from 1 species
CCCUCUAUUCUGGCAUUCUGCAGUUCAGUCCACAGAUACAACCCUUCCAUUUGAUACAAAUGCAUACUUAGUAUAGAUCUGAUGCUUGCGAGUACUUUGGAUGAGUACUCACGGUUGCUUUGCUACCCCUUUUCCCCCUUCUUUCUUCUUUUCGGUUGAUGCAACCACAUGGUGGAUCCUUGGAGCCAGAUGCCACCGCCGACGGAUACUACUACAUGGAGGCCGCCGAAGACCAGGAGUAGUUAGGAGGUCCCAGGCAGGAGGCCUUGCCUUUUCGAUCUUGUUGCUUUUGUGCUAGCCUUCUUAAGGCAAAACUUGUUUAACUUAUGUCUGUACUCAGAUAUUGUUGCUUCCGCUGACUCUUGUGUAUCGAGCUUGUAUUCGAGCCCUCGAGGCCCCUGGCUUGUAAUAUAAAGCUUGUAUUAUUUUAUUUGUGUCUAGAGUUGUGUUGUGAUAUCUUCCCGUGAGUCCCUGAUCUUGAUCGUAUACAUUUGCGUGUAUGAUUAGUGUACGAUUGAAUCGGGGGCGUCACAAGUUGGUAUCAGAGCCGACUUCCUGUAGGAUCCCCUUUCCAACUCCUUGGCCGAAGUUGAGUCUAGUUUUGAAAAACAAUUUUACUAACAUGGCUGUGUGGCUUACGGGCCCACGUCGCCAAUUGGGUGGUAUUAAGAUCUUUUAUUCCUUGUCUAUACUCUGGGAAUCUGAUCUCUCUUCUAUUCGGGUUAAAUGGUUUUGCAAACUAUAACUCUAGGAUCUCGUAAAUACUUCUCCCGGAGAGCCCCUUCAUUCUAGAUGAUGGCCCGCUUCACCAGAAGAUUCUGAAGAUACUCUUUGAUGCUUUCUCGAGACCCUUGUGCCCUUCACCAUUGCAAUUCCUACCACCGAUAAAUCCUUAUGCGUAACUACCUACGUUGUCGUUCAUGCCUUCAUCCCCAUUUGCUCUUGUUAUUACAAGAUGUCCUGAAAUACUCUUCGAUGUUUAGAGGAUCCUUCAUGCUUACUGCCCUGCAGUUCUUGCCGCAUGAAUACCCCUUCGGAUAAUUACUCGCUCUUACCGAGUAUCCAUUCACCCCAGUUAUUCUUAUGCUUCAUAAGAUACUUGGUAAUACAAUCCGAGCUUUCGAUGACCUCUGUCUACUAUUGCUCUAGAAAGUCUUACUUGCCUACACUCUGGUUAAUUCCAUAUGCCUAGCAGUAUCCAUUGACGUCCUUUGUCAUUAUCAUCUUGAGUCUUUCGAUUUGAUAUGUCUAUGUUGCAAUCAUUAGUUGAUCCUUAUAGAUUAUCUUUCUGGCUCAGACGUCUUCCCGAACAUGAGCUGUUUCUUGGCCAAUCAUAUUGCCAUUGGUUGUGCCCAAGUCUAUUCAACUUAUCCAUUCUUGAUCAGCGUGUUUGCUUCAGAUCCCUUGAUUUGGGAAUCAUAAUUCAUUUUGCAAUUGAACUCUGAAUUAGUCAGUUGCUUCUAUAAUCUGACCUCCUUGCAUUCUUCCUUCUUCUGGUUGAGUACUGCUGCUCUCGUCAGAUCCCUCGUGGACCACCAGAUCCUUGGUGUAUUUUAUCUGACAACAUCCUUCAUAUUCGGUAACCUUGUGAGCCUUUCCUCGGAUGCAUAAUACCUUUCGUAAAUUGUAUCCCCGCUCUUGUCAACCAUACUCUGCUUUCGGGCUUGAGUUAUUUACUCGUGAAGUUUGUGAUAUAUGUCCUAAGAUGUCCCUAUGGGUUGAAUCUAUGGCUUCCCUAAUCUGUGUGAACCCGAAGAUUAUGCAACUUAUAUCUACUGACGUUUCUUUGGAUUUUUUAAUUCUACAACUUCAUCGAAAUCAAGAAGUGAAUGGAAAGAUGUGCAUUAGAGAAGUGGGAGUCGACCUUGAACCUUUGUGUUCAUGCCCAUGGACCCGAUGUGGAACUUAUCAUGGAAGCUUCUUGUGAUAAUGAUAAUUCCCUUGUGAUAAGUUCAUCUUGUAUCUAUAUUUGGUCCUUUGCAACCGUGGUUCCGACCCUAUAGUUCUUCUUUGAUCCCAUUUCUCACACAAGUUGAAGUACUUGUCCUCUGUAGAUCUUUUCACCUGUCCAACCUCUAUCAUGUUCUACCUUCGAGUUUUACACUAUGUUAUCUCGAGCAUAUCACGGAACUACAUAAAUUCUUAUGAGUUCUUCAUUAACUACUAUUUCUCACUGAUUCUAGUUUUCCGUGGAUUUUGAGUUGUUAGACACUCGAGAACACCAGUACCUGAUCCGAGUCUACACUUUUCUCUCCAUUGUUUUGUUUAACCUUUCUUGUAACCAACAUAUCCGAGCAGUGGUAUUUCCCUGCUUAUGUAAAUACCUCGAUGUACAAACUCUGUCAGUAAGACCUUGUUACUAUUGUUGGUGACAUUCCGGUAACCACCGAUGGAUAAGAACUUUGCCUAUUGGUCCACCUCGUCUUAAUGGGCAGGGAAAUGGUUCUCUUCGUCCCUCGCCCUUGGUACCAACGUUGUUACCAACAUAAUUGACGGUCUAUCCUCUGACCUGCCUUGCUAUCAUGAUCGUGCAAAUGAUAGGAUCCGUCCCGCUUUCAACCCACAUGGUGGGCCCAUAACCCACAGUUCCACAGGAUCGAAACCUGACUCUCCUAUACAUCUCUGUCUUCCAAAAUUAUUCCCCACGCUUGGUUUCGUAUGUAAUUCGCGAGCCACCUUCUUGUGAUCUGUUCUGGUAUCAGAUGCAAUACUUAUUCUCGAUGCUUGAACCCCUUUCACCCUCUCUUUCAGGCAAUGAACGAUUGCCUACCCGGUUAAAACUUCUUAUUGCACCCUCUUACCUUUCCCUCGGUGACUUUCUUGAAUUUCAACUCGCGAGAUGCCUCUAUGCCAUGUUCACCGAGAUAGCCCCAGGUACCUAUCUUGUGUUGAGCUUCGUCCUUUCCGAGUCUUUUCCCUUACUCCACCCCUUAAAUCUCGGGACGAGAUUUCUUGUAGUGGAGGAGAAUUGUGACGCCCGGAUAAUUAAGCUACAGUAAUUCCCUGCCGUUGAUGCCACGUCAUCACGAUUAUUGUUGAUAAACUCACGUCGAUUCAAACCCCGUUCAAUUUCAAAAUUAAAAUCAGGUCAAACUUUAAAAGUUUUCAAAUGUCAAAACUUAAAUGUUCACCAUAUCCUAUAAAUUCACCUGAUGAUUGUCAUGUUGAAACCAACCUCUUUUUAAUACCAAAUUGCACCUGGAAUUUUAUUUGGUGGUCCAACCACAAUUAAAUUGGCCUUAUCAAUUUCUAAAAAUGGUUAGGCAACUCCUUUUGACCCCAAACUUUUUGUGCCAUCUCAAGGUAUUGUGUGAAAAUUAUGUGCCAAGUUUUUUGUUAAAACAAAAGUCUUUUGUGCUCCAGUUAAAUGCAAAUCCGUAACUAUUGAAAGUAUAGAAAAGCAUAAUCGGAAACACUAAGACUUCCUGCUGGACUGGGCCCCUAGUGGCUGCAGUGCGGCCCAGCCCAGCCUAGCCGGCCUUUCCUGUAGCUCUGGACAGUGGAGACCGAGGCCAUGGCGCCAGGCACGCGCGUGCGCCGUCCACGCGCCCGAUCUCCUCGUGUCGUUCAUCCGUCGAUGCCCCGAGACGCAUAAGACCCUCCCCGACGGCCUGGUCGAACCCUAGCUUGCCCAUUCCCCUUCUCCAGCUCGCCCUUCUCGAAUCGAUACAAGACCGAACUGUCGCUGCCACACUCGUUGUCGAUCCUGUGGCCACCGGCCGUCCCUCGUCGCUGCACCAUGACCAGGAGCCGCACAUCGUCGCCUUCUUCAUCGACACAGCAGGAAUCGGGCGGAACCGCCUUGAAGUCAUCGCCCCGGUUGUGUCUUCAUCGCCUCGGCCGCCGCACGAUGUCGCCAUCGAUUCGCCGCGCCUCGACCACCUCCGGCUGCCCCGAGCUGUUCCUCGUCAUGGAUGUGAGCACGGCGUGUUUUCCCCUCUGUUCCCGCCUUUAAUCUUGUCCUGUAGCACCGAAUCCCCACGAGCCCCGAUCUCCCGCGUAUGUGAGCGUAUUGCUUCUGUUGCCGCUUGCUUCUGCCGCGCCUUCGUUGCCCGCUAUAGCUACCUCCGGUUGCCGCUGCCCUUGCCCACGCUCGAACGCCUGUGGCGCCCUCUCCCGCUUGCUCCCGCCGCUCUGCUACUAGUGCUGCUGCUGCUUCUGCUUCCGUGGGGGCCUAAUGCGUCGCUGCUCCUCUUAGCUGCUGCUGCUGCUCGCUGCUUGAUCGCUGGUUGCUGCUUGGCUUGCUGUUAUGCGUGCUUGCUACGGCACUGCUUUGCUUGCUACUUUGGUGCGUUGAGGCGUGUUUUCUACUUCUGCUCAUACUCUCCUGCUACCGCAAACUGCCGCUUGCUGCUGCUAUUGGCCUUGGCUACAUCAAUGCCUGAGUGUGUGUGUGCGUGAGUGUGUGUUCUGUGUGUGUGGCCGGCCCAAUUACUAGUUUAGGGACUAAUUUAGUUAGUUAGUCUGAUUACUAGUACUAGUUAAUUAGUCCAAUAGUAGAUGACAUGUGGACCCACUUUUAGUUUAAAGAAAAACAAAUUUUAAGAAAAGUCUAAGUCAAUGACAUGUAGGCCCAGUUGAACUGUUCACCUUUGACCAGUCAACUGUUGACUCCUGAGUCAAUAGUUGACCUGGCCCCACUAGUCAUGCACACUGGCUAGGUACUGCUGUGUACAAAAUGUAAUUGCUGUAUUAAGUCGAAUUUAUAAUAAUUUCAGAAAUUUCUUUAAACUUUAAUAAAUCAUAUAAAAUAGACCAUAGCUCGGAUGAAAAUGUUUUCUACAUGAAAGUUGCUCAGAACGACGAGACAAAUCCGAACAUGCGGUCUGUUCGCCCGCCACACAUCCCUAGGAUAGCAAACAUUGAACUUUUCCCCUCAGGUUCAUCUGUCUGACAGACGUCCGGAACCGGGAAAACUUUCCCGAAUGGUUUCCCCCUUCACCAGUAUCACCUAGCACGGCGUUCGAACACCUCUAGCCCCGCUUAUUGUCUUGUUAUGCUUAUGUUUGUGUGUAUUUACUAUUUCUUCCCCCUCUUCUCCCUGCUAGACCUCGAGACUGCUGCUGAUGCCCCUGUGAUCGACUACAUCGACGACGACCCUCCUUCUUGUCUGAGCAACCAGGCAAGCCCCCCCUUUGAUCAUCCCGAUAUCGCCCAUUUUAUACUCGCAUGCUUGCAUUAGAUUUUUGCUACUGUUUUUGUUUGCUCCUAUUCUGAUGCAUAGCCUGCUUUUGUACCUGCUAUUGUUACCUACCUGUUUAUCCUAAACUGCUUAGUAUAGGUUGGCUAGUGAUCCAUCAGUGACCCCCACUUGUCCUUGUUGCCCCUGCUUCAUCAUCGACGCCUCGGUCGACGUGAUCGACGACCACAGCCCGACACCUCACCUCACAUCACGCCGCUUUAGUUGCUCGACUUUGCAGAGCUACUAUCGAGUGCCGAGGGUGAUCCCUCAUAACGCACUCCUGAUGAUAAUUCUGUAGUGUAGCUAUUUCGGUCGUGGUCAUCGAGGGUGAUUUCCUCUUUCACCAUUCCCGAUACGGCUCUGUCGUUCAACACCUCAAGUGUGAACCUCGAGGGUGGUCCCUCUUACGUUCACCUUGAUGAUUACAUUGAGUGGAAUCCACUGGGGGUGAUUCCUCGGGUUUUCCCCUUGAUGUUUGAACACACGGUUACACUAACUUUACUUGAGACCUUGGUGAAAGUCGGGCGGGCCCGGAGAGCACCCGCAAGAUGGUUACGUGGCACUGCCGGGCAUUCUAUGCCCUUGUCAUAAGUCCACAAGACAGGGCGACGGGGUCUCUUUCGAUCGUGAGUCUCUACUCGUCUCCGCAAGCUAAUAAUACACUGUGGUUUGGGUAUUUGUUCUGAGUUGGCCUCUGGCCUUUACGCACAAACCACCACGCGAGAAUAGAUAUGGGCCUCGACGUCGCAGUAUCAGCUGAAGCUUUGUCAGACGUCUAGUUAAGCAUUGUGGGCCUAUCGGGCCAGUGCCAUCCAGUAUGAGGUGGUGCUCGUCCAGGCUCGUCGCACAAUGACCCGGAGUGAAACGGGCGAUGGGCCCAGACCCCAGAGUGCUUAGGAGGUAGACCGGCGAGGACCUCUCUGCUGAGCCUAGGUCGGGCUGCGACGUGUUGAUCUUCCGAGGGCGGGCAUUGACCCCAGAAAGGUGUGUCCAGCCAGAGUGAUCGAGCGUGUUGGGUAACGUGGUGCACCCCUGCAGGGAAGUUAUAUAUUCGAAUACCGUGUCCACUGUAAUGGACGUUCAGACUUAUAUCCUGAUCUUAUACAACCACAAAUGGAUACUUGAGAUAUGUGGCUUCGGGAUUGCUUUCUCGCAGGGAGUCGAGGAAGGAUCUCUAGGCAUUAAUGUACAACAUGCCUGUUAAUUAUAAACUGCUAUUCUUUACUCUACUACAUGCCGUGAGAUGCUCGAAGCUGCGUGAAGAUGCUAGUCUUCGAUAGGCUAGGCUUUCCCCCUCUAUUCUGGCAUUCUGCAGUUCGGUCCACAGAUACAACCCUUCCAUUUGAUACAAAUGCAUACUUAGUAUAGAUUUGAUGCUUGCGAGUACUUUGGAUGAGUACUCACGGUUGCUUUGCUACCCCUUUUCCCCCUUCUUUCUUCUUUCCGGUUGAUGCAACCAGAUGGUGGAUCCUUGGAGCCAGAUACCACCGCCGACGGAUACUACUACAUGGAGGCCGCCGAAGACCAGGAGUAGUUAGGAGGUCCCAGGCAGGAGGCCUUGCCUUUUCGAUCGUGUUGCUUUUGUGCUAGCCUUCUUAAGGCAAAACUUGUUUAACUUAUGUCUGUACUUAGAUAUUGUUGCUUCCGCUGACUCUUGUGUAUCGAGCUUGUAUUCGAGCCCUCGAGGC